CAGCAGACACAUUCCAGCCAAUCAGCAGCUGACCCUCCCUCCCAGACCCUCCCACCUCCUGGACAGCAUCCAUUUUACAUUCAUUGUGAAGCUGCAUUCUUAGUGAGCUGUCCAGGAGGUGGGAGGGUCUGGGAGGGAGGGUCUGCUGCUGAUUGGCUGGAAUGUGUCUGCUG